rnacentral:rRNA from 1 species
UGAGUAAUCUGCCCUUCACUUCGGGAUAACCACCGGAAACGGUGGCUAAUACCGGAUACGACCAGUCUUCGCAUGAGGUGCUGGUGGAAAGUCUUUCGGUGAAGGAUGUGCUCGCGGCCUAUCAGCUUGUUGGUGGGGUAAUGGCCUACCAAGGCUUCGACGGGUAGCCGGCCUGAGAGGGUGACCGGCCACACUGGGACUGAGACACGGCCCAGACUCCUACGGGAG